rnacentral:rRNA from 1 species
CCUACGGGGGGCAGCAGUGGGGAAUAUUGCACAAUGGGGGAAACCCUGAUGCAGCGACGCCGCGUGAGUGAAGAAGUAAUUCGUUAUGUAAAGCUCUAUCAGCAGGGAAGAAAAUGACGGUACCUGAGUAAGAAGCCCCGGCUAACUACGUGCCAGCAGCCGCGGUAAUACGUAGGGGGCAACGUUAAUCGGAUUUACCGGGGGGAAAGGGGGCGUAGACGGCAGGGCAAGGCUGGAGUGACAGGCGGGGGCUCAACCCCCGGACUGCUCUGGAAACUGUACGGCUGGAGUGCAGGAGAGGUAAGUGGAAUUCCUAGUGUAGCGGUGAAAUGCGUAGAUAUUAGGAGGAACACCAGUGGCGAAGGCGGCUUACUGGACUGUAACUGACGUUGAGGCUCGAAAGCGUGGGGAGCAAACAGGAUUAGAUACCCUAGUAGUC